rnacentral:rRNA from 1 species
AACGAACGCUGGCGGCAGGCUUAACACAUGCAAGUCGAACGCCCCGCAAGGGGAGUGGCAGACGGGUGAGUAACGCGUGGGAACAUACCCUUUUCUACGGAAUAACUCUGGGAAACUGGAAUUAAUACCGUAUACGCCCUACGGGGGAAAGAUUUAUCGGGGAAGGAUUGGCCCGCGUUGGAUUAGCUAGUUGGUGGGGUAAAGGCCUACCAAGGCGACGAUCCAUAGCUGGUCUGAGAGGAUGAUCAGCCACAUUGGGACUGAGACACGGCCCAAACUCCUACGGGAGGCAGCAGUGUGGAAUAUUGGCCAAUGGGCGCAAGCCUGAUCCAGCCAUGCCGCGUGAGUGAUGAAGGCCGUAGGGUUGUAAAGCUCUUUCACCGAUGAAGAUAAUGACGGUAGUCGGAGAAGAAGCCCCGGCUAACUUCGU